GGCCAGUGGUGGGUAGGGGCAGGGUGGGACCAUUGCUCAGCAGGGCGGCCUCUGCCCCCGCUCCCUCUCCAGUGGCAGGGCAGCGCCCUGGGGAAGCACCCAGAGAUGGGAUCCCAGCCUUAGCCUGAGGCCAUGUCUGUAAAGGGGAUUUCGCUCACUGCCUUCUCCUUGGCACGCAGCUGCUGGUGCUGCCAUGCAGAGCUUUGCUUCCCAGCUCUGGCUUUCCCAGGCACAGGGCUUGCUGAAAGGAAUCAGCUGGGAUGCACCCUCCUGAUUUUAUUCAGGCAUGCCAAGAGCUACCGCAAAGAGAAGAAAACAGGGUGUCUCUUAACUCUACUUUCCUGGGGCUGGCAGUGGGCUGGAAGCUGAGACCUGCCCAUCCGCCUGGUGCUUGUGAGCAAGGCUCCCUCACACGCUGUUUUGAUCCAGGUAUUGGACAGAGCAGCUUUUGUGCAGAGAUUUGCAGAACUUGUUUGUCUGCUGUUCUACUUCAGUGGAAGUUGAAACAGGUGUGCUGGAGCCACUGUGUUCAUUGCAUUUUUUUUUUUUUUUCUGGUUCAUAUUCCUGUGCACUAGUUUAUUUUGCGAUGUUCCUUAUUUCAGGUUGGGAGUAACCUUCCUGCCCUCAGGACAUAUUGAAUUGUUGCUGAAUGUUCCCAAGUGGAUUUUUCCAAAUCACUAGGAAAGAAGAAGUUCAACAGCAAAGUUGGUGGUUGGUUCAGGAGUGUAUCUGAGCAGUUUGAGCUUAUAAUUUGUGAUGCAUACUUUCUGGUUUCAGCCGUGAGACUAGCCUCUCUCAUGAUAUUUUUUUUUUGGUCUUCUACCCCCAGCUGAGAGCAGGAAAUGCACAGGGCACACUCAGUGUGAAGGCGAUCCAGCAAGGCUAGUUAGAUGAACUUUCCUAAGGGGCUUUUUGAGGGAUAGAAAGAAGUAGCUUAGGAACACAGGAGACCUGAAAGGCCAUUUUUCUCUUUUCUUUCUCUCUUCUCCUGCUGGCAUGAGAGAAAACUGAGAGUCCCUCACCUUCCCUUUGCUGCACAGCAGGGUGGAAGACACUUCUUCACAGAAUGAACAAAGAGGCAGGAAGACAAAAAUAAACAGCUGAGCCAUUGCUGCA
rnacentral:lncRNA from 1 species